rnacentral:rRNA from 1 species
CCCAGACUCCUACGGGAGGCAGCAGUGGGGGAUAUUGCACAAUGGGGGGAACCCUGAUGCAGCGACGCCGCGUGGGUGAAGGAGCGUUUCGGCGCGUAAAGCCCUAUCGGCAGGGAAGAAGGAGGACGGUACCUGACUAAGAAGCCCCGGCUAACUGCGUGCCAGCAGCCGCGGUAAUACGUAGGGGGCAAGCGUUAUCCGGAUUUACUGGGUGUAAAGGGGGCGCAGACGGCAGCGCAAGCCAGGAGUGAAAGCCCGGGGCCCAACCCCGGGACUGCUCUUGGAACUGCGCGGCUGGAGUGCAGGAGGGGCAGGCGGAAUUCCUGGUGUAGCGGUGAAAUGCGUAGAUAUCAGGAGGAACACCGGUGGCGAAGGCGGCCUGCUGGACUGCGACUGACGUUGAGGCCCGAAAGCGUGGGGAGCAAACAGGAUUAGAUACCCCAGUAA